GGGCCCGUAGUGUAAUCGGCUAGCACUCUGUUUUUGACAGACAGGUGUGCGGGUUCAAUCCCCGCCGGGUCCA
rnacentral:tRNA from 1 species